AGUCAACAUGCCCAGGGGACGUGGAUAACCUCGGGAAACUGAGGAUAAACCGCGAUAGGUCAUUACUUCUGGAAUGGGUAAUGACUUAAACCUAUAUGGCCCCUGGAUUGGACUGCGGCCGAUCAGGCUGUUGGUGAGGUAAUGGCCCACCAAACCUGUAACCGGUACGGGCUCUGAGAGGAGGAGCCCGGAGAUGGGCACUGAGACAAGGGCCCAGGCCCUAUGGGGCGCAGCAGGCGCGAAACCUCUGCAAUAGGCGAAAGCUUGACAGGGUUACUCUGAGUGAUUUCCGUUAAGGAGAUCUUCUGGCACCUCUAAAAAUGGUGCAGAAUAAGGGGUGGGCAAGUCUGGUGUCAGCCGCCGCGGUAAUACCAGCACCCCGAGUGGUCGGGACGUUUAUUGGGCCUAAAGCAUCCGUAGCCGGUUCUACAAGUCUUCCGUUAAAUCCACCUGCUUAACAGAUGGGCUGCGGAAGAUACUAUAGAGCUAGGAGGCGGGAGAGGCAAGCGGUACUCGAUGGGUAGGGGUAAAAUCCGCUGAUCCAUUGAAGACCACCAGUGGCGAAGGCGGCUUGCCAGAACGCGCUCGACGGUGAGGGAUGAAAGCUGGGGGAGCAAACCGGAUUAGAUACCCGGGUAGUCCCAGCUGUAAACGAUGCAGACUCGGUGAUGAGUUGGCUUAUUGCUAACUCAGUGCCGCAGGGAAGCCGUUAAGUUUGCCGCCUGGGGAGUACGGUCGCAAGACUGAAACUUAA
rnacentral:rRNA from 1 species